ensembl:snoRNA
AGCACUUGUAUGGGGUUUUUGUUUAACUGGUGGAUAAAGACUUAGAGACAAAAAUAAAUUCUCUUUUGCAACCCAGAACUCACUGUUGUAUGAGUUUUAAUACAUGUAAGAAGGAAUAUC